UCCUGGUUAUAACCUGAGACAUGACCUGGUUAUAACCUGGUUAUAUCCUGAGACAUUACCUGGUUAUAACCAGGUAAUAACCUGGUUCCAACCAGGUAAUGUCUCAGCAUAAUAU